GAUGAACGCUGGCGGCGUGCCUAAUACAUGCAAGUCGAGCGAACGGACGAGAAGCUUGCUUCUCUGAUGUUAGCGGCGGACGGGUGAGUAACACGUGGAUAACCUACCUAUAAGACUGGGAUAACUUCGGGAAACCGGAGCUAAUACCGGAUAAUAUUUUGAACCGCAUGGUUCAAAAGUGAAAGACGGUCUUGCUGUCACUUAUAGAUGGAUCCGCGCUGCAUUAGCUAGUUGGUAAGUUAACGGCUUACCAAGGCAACGAUGCAUAGCCGACCUGAGAGAGUGAUCGGCCACACUGGAACUGAGACACGGUCCAGACUACUACGGGAGGCAGCAGUAGGGAAUCUUCCGCAAUGGGCGAAAGCCUGACGGAGCAACGCCGCGGGAGUGAUGAAGGUCUUCGGAUCGUAAAACUCUGUUAUUAGGGAAGAACAUAUGUGUAAGUAACUGUGCACAUCUUGACGGUACCUAAUCAGAAAGCCACGGCUAACUACGUG
rnacentral:rRNA from 1 species